AGUAAUCAAACGAGAUUUUCUUAGUAGCGGCGAGCGAACGGGAAAGAGGCCAAACCGGAGCGGGCAACCGCACCGGGGUUGAGGACAGUCAUCAAGUGUAAAUGAGGUAGAAGAAUCGAGCUGGAAAGCUCAGCCGCAGAAGGUGAAAGCCCUGUAAUCGAAACCUUGCAUACACGGGACUGUAUCCAGAGUACCACGAGACACGUGAAACCUUGUGGGAAGCAGGGGGGACCACCCUCCAAGCCAAAAUACUGAUAUCGACCGAUAGCGCAUAGUACCGUGAGGGAAAGGUGAAAAGAACCCCUGGCGGGGAGUGAAAGAGAACCUGAAACCGUAUGUCUACAAACAGUCGAAGUCUGUAUAUAUAUCAGGACGACGGCGUGCCUAUUGAAGAAUGAACCGACGAGUUACUGUUGCUAGCGAGGUUAAGUGGAAAACAUGGAGCCGCAGCGAAAGCGAGUCUGAACAGGGCGUUCAGUUAGUAAUAGUAGACCCGAAACCGUAGUGAUCUAUCCAUGGCCAGGUUGAAGCACAGGUAAAAUUGUGUGGAGGACCGAACUCGUGAGCGUUGAAAAGCUUUGGGAUGAGUUGUGGAUAGGGGUGAAAUGCCAAUCGAACACGGAGAUAGCUGGUUCUCCCCGAAAUAGCUUUAGGGCUAGCCUCGAGGUAGAGAGUAUAGGCGGUAGAGCACUGAUCGGGCUAGGGGCCAUACCGGUUACCGAACCUAGUCAAACUACGAAUGGCUAUACUUAUACUCGGGAGUCAGACAGUGAAUGAUAAGGUCCAUUGUCAAGAGGGAAACAGCCCAGAACACCGACUAAGGUCCCCAAUGUUACACUAAGUGGCGAAGGAUGUGGAAUUUCCAAAACAACCAGGAUGUUGGCUUAGAAGCAGCCACCAUUUAAAGAGUGCGUAAUAGCUCACUGGUCGAGAGACUCUGCGCCGAAAAUGUCCGGGGCUAAAGUGUAAAACCGAAGUCGUGUCAUAAGCGAAAAGAAUGGUGAGAAUCCAUUCCACCGAAAGCCUAAGGGUUCCUGAGCAACGAUCGUCGUCUCAGGGUAAGUCGGGACCUAAGCCGAGGCGGAACAGCGUAGGCGAUGGACAACAGGUUGAAAUUCCUGUACCGGUGUGAAUCGUUUGAUCGAUGGAGUGACACAGUAAGGUAGGUCAGCACGCGAUUGGAAGAGCGUGUUUAAGCAGGUAGGUUGAGUUAUAGGCAAAUCCGUAGCUCUAAAAGCUGAGAUGUGAUGACGAGCGACUAGCAAUAGUCGCGAAGUGAUUGAUCCUACACUGUCGAGAAAAGCUUCUAGGUAGAGACACAUCGCCCGUACCAAAACCGACACAGGUAGGCGGGGAGAGAAUCCUAAGGUGCGCGGGAAAACCCUCGUUAAGGAACUCGGCAAAAUGCCUCCGUAACUUCGGGAAAAGGAGGACUCAUGUAGUGUGAAGAGCAGCAACGCUUGGAGCAUGAAUGAGUGGCACAAGAGAGGCGCAAGCGACUGUUUACCACAAACACAGGUGCCUGCUAAAGCGAAAGCUGAUGUAUAGGUGCUGACACCUGCCCGGUGCUGGAAGGUUAAGAGGAGGGGUUAGACUUCGGUCGAAGCUCUGAAUUGAAGCCCCAGUAAACGGCGGCCGUAACUAUAACGGUCCUAAGGUAGCGAAAUUCCUUGUCGGGUAAGUUCCGACCCGCACGAAAGGUGUAACGACUUGCGCACUGUCUCAACGAGGGACCCGGUGAAAUUGAAGUACCUGUGAAGAUGCAGGUUACCCGCGACUGGACAGAAAGACCCCAUGGAGCUUUACUGCAACCUAAGAUUGAACUUAGUUAAUGAAUGUACAGGAUAGGUGGGAGAC
rnacentral:rRNA from 1 species